rnacentral:rRNA from 1 species
UACGAAGGGUGCAAGCGUUGUUCGGAAUUACUGGGCGUAAAGGGCGUGUAGGCGGACAGAUUAGUUGGGAGUGAAAUCCCGGAGCUCAACUCCGGAACUGCUUUCAAAACGGUUUGUCUAGAGUGUAGUAGGGGACAAUGGAAUACCCAGUGGAGAGGUUAAAUUCGUAGAGAUUGGGUAGAACACCAGAGGCGAAGGCGAUUGUCUGGACUAUUACUGACGCUGAGGCGCGAAAGCGUGGGGAU